UGCAUCAGCUCCUGGUUUGUGGCCAG
rnacentral:misc_RNA from 1 species